rnacentral:rRNA from 2 species
UGGCGGCAAUAGCGCCGUGGAACCACCUGAUCCCAUGCCGAACUCAGAAGUGAAACGCGGUAGCGCCGAUGGUAGUGUGGCAUUCGCCAUGCGAGAGUAGGACACUGCC